AUCCUGAGAUGAUGAUUCGUGCAGUCCGUGUUUCACCUGAGUCUGAUGAUUACGCCCUCACUGCACUGAUCAGGGC
rnacentral:snoRNA from 1 species